rnacentral:rRNA from 1 species
CCUACGGGCGGCAGCAGUGGGGAAUAUUGCACAAUGGGGGAAACCCUGAUGCAGCGACGCCGCGUGAGUGAAGAAGUAUUUCGGUACGUAAAGCCCUGUCAGCAGGGAAGAAAGCAAUGACGGUACCUGACCAAGAAGCCCCGGCUAACUACGUGCCAGCAGCCGCGGUAAUACGUAGGGGGCAAGCGUUAUCCGGAAUUACUGGGUGUAAAGGGAGCGUAGACGGCUGUGCAAGUCUGGAGUGAAAGGCGGGGGCCCAACCCCCGGACUGCUCUUGAAACUGUAUGGCUGGAGUGCAGGAGAGGUAAGCGGAAUUCCUAGUGUAGCGGUGAAAUGCGUAGAUAUUAGGAGGAACACCAGUGGCGAAGGCGGCUUACUGGACUGUAACUGACGUUGAGGCUCGAAAGCGUGGGGAGCAAACAGGAUUAGAUACCCUUGUAGUC